AAGUCCUCAAGAGAAGAACUUACUAUGCCUGAGUCAUGGGAGGCAUUCAAGCAAUUCCUGUACCUCGAUGAAUUAAAUAUUGAAGGCUGAGAGAAAGUGAGCGGGGAAAUAUGGGAGCUCGUAAGAGGGUUAAGUUUUCCAUCUUUCUGACCAGGCCCCAUGAUCCAGCUGUCACAGGACUUACAAGAAGGAAACAGCAUUUCAUUAAUGGUCCUCUGAUGCCACUGCACCAUUCCCUGCCAUGAAGAGGAACAAGUGGAAGAAAAAGAGGAAAGCAAACAAUGAGAACCAUGGAAAGAAGUCCCACCUCCCUGGAAUGUGGGCGACUAUUCAGUGUUGGAUAUUCAGUGUGAGGGCUUGAAUUGAGUGUUAUAAAUGUUAUGAACGUGGUUAGGACAUAGUAUAGUGUACUGUCAUGGGAAGUGCAGCUCUGUGAUAUGCACAAGGGCAAAUUUACAUUUUGAAAGCAAAAAUACUACUUUCAAAUUUCACCACUCAAACCAAAUUCAACAUUCAUUACUUCAAAGCUCUACUUAACAGAUUCAACCAGAAAACCUAUUCCACCUCCUCUCCUCCUUCCGAAGGAGCUCAAAUAGAAACUCAGUAUCCUUCUGUGUGGUCUGAGAGAGCCUAAGCUUGCUGGUUGCUAAGGUCUAUUUAAUAAAUUUUCCUAAGCUGUGUGGAUAAUGAGAUAAGAUAUUCAGGGGAAUUAAAAUGUUAAUUAUGUGUACAGGUUGGUAAAUACACUCUGUGAUUUGAACAGACUCAUUAUAUGAGCUUAAAUUAUUAUUACAACAGUGAAUGUCAACCAUUCAUGAUACAUUACCUUCAUCACAAAAUAUUGACAAC